CCCAGUUGGGUUGAAAGUUUUGACUUCUCUCAUUUUGGAGUUUGCUUCAAAUUCAAAAUACUAACAACAUAAAAAAUAAUUAAUAUAAAAAUAAAAAAGGUUAUUUUUAUAAACACUAAAGAGUUUGUUUUGCCGUAUGAUUUAAAAACAGUUUUCUAUUUUUAAAAAUAGAAAAUUAUUUUUAAAAUUUUUUAAUAUUAUUUAGCCAUUGUUAUUUAAAAAUAAUUUUUUUUUUUUUUUUAAAAAUGAACUCGUUUAAUCAUGUUUUUUGAAACUUAUUUUUAAAAAUUAUUUUUAAAUUAAAAAAUAAAAAAUAGUUUUUAAAAACAAGUUUAAGAAAACAUGGUGAUGGCCAUGUCCAAACGGAACUUCGGUAUUUUAUGUUUUAAAAAAUUACAACAAUGAGAUGUGGUCAUAUAGGGGCCUUAAGCAUUAAAAAUUGGAUAAGGGUUUGGUGGGUUUGGUCCAGGGAAGCAAACACAAUAAAGAAGCUUAAUGUCUUUGUUGGGGGUGUCAGAGAAUAAGUGUACACAGGCUAACCAAAUUAGGCAUCACAAGUCAACUUCAUGACCACACACCAUGGGCUCUUGCCGACAACAUUAGGAAUAAUAAUUGGAAAAAUUCUAUGACAUCAAUGUGGAAUUCACCGUAGGGAAAAAGAGCAUCCUCACCUCAGCCUACCUUCAUAAGAAUAAGUUGAGCCUCCCCAACUAUGUCCUCUCUCGUAUUUUUCGAAGAAGAGGGAGAACGAUUCUUUCUCCCUUGUUCUCAUCAUACCCUCUCAAGAAUUCUAUCCAAACAUAUUUGUCAAAUAAAGAGGUUCUUUAGGUGUCAUUCUAUCAUCUUUAAGGUAUCUAAAUAAUUUUAUCUUCUUUAGGGUAUAAUCUUGAGUCAUUUGUAGUAGAUGAAAAAUAUAUCAAAUAUAUGGAGUUUCUUUUUGUAUAUUAUAUAGAUGAUCUGAUCCAUAAGGAUUAUGAUUGAGAAUUGUUUGAUCGUCUUUCUCCGAGGAAGAGACGAAACAUAAUCAACUUGAAUUCAAGAUAGCUAUUCAAAAUCUUAGUGAAAUACUAAAUUUGUUAUCUCAUCUGUUUCGUGAAAAAAAAUACCAAUUGAAGUGGAGAGUUUCUUCAAAUAACAAGGAGUUGGGUUAACUAUUCAAUCAAAUGAUAUUGAGCAUGUUUCUCACCUCUUCUCAAGAGAAAAGUGGGUUAUUUCUUUGCAAAAUUAUGCUCAAUUUCAUAUGUGACAAUUCUACCAAGAUCUUUUCAUUAAUUGGGGGAAAAAUCCACACGAAUCGGAUUUUUUGAAGAAGGUAUUGAGAGAGAAUUGAAUUUGGUUAGAUAAUGUGUGAUUGGUAAAUAAGGAGUGGUAUUUUAGCAAGGUACAAAAUAGUCAAAUAUUCAAUAUAUGAAAGUACAAAAUUUAACUCGUGGCAUCUUUGGAGAUGCAUCACGAUGGUCCAUAACAAUAGCGAAUAUCAGUAUAGAAGUUAAAACCACCGCAAUGCACAGGAAUAUCAUAAUUUAUAGAUUUGAGAGACAGUAUUGAAAAACUUGAAACCCCUGCAGGAGCCACGUGACAUUGUACGACACCCUAAACUAUUCCAAUUUCCACUUCAUAAAAAUAAGAAGAGAGAGAGAGAGAAAAGUACACAAACACCCACAACCGGCGCCCACGCCCGACGCCCGUGACAUCUUCAACUACAGAACAAAACUCACCAACCAGACCCCAACUCACUCCUUUUUCGACAAGUCAAGGCAAAAUACCUAUCACAACACCGACAUCUAAUCAAAUGGGCUAAGUGGGUCAGGUGCACAGUUCACGGGCGACGCCCAGCCUUGAAUUGGGGACAUCGUAGAGGAGCCUGUGGUUCUGCUGCUGCAAGUUGGCAAUGACGUUCAGCACCGAGUUCACGUUGUCAGGGGCGGCUGCCAUGGCCAGGCAGGUCGUGCUGCCGGCGGUGCUGUGAAUCAGCAGGUUAUCCGGUGGCAGCGUCACGUUCAUGCCCGUGAACAUGAAGGUUAUCGUGGGCGCUGCUAUGGGCACCGUGUAGCAUGUGUCGAAUCCCCCCAGUGACGUUACUGUCAAGUUCCUCCCCACCCUGUUUCUGAACGCGUCUCUCACUGCUAUGUACGCCGGCGUUACGAGCCUCGUGAACACCGUCCCUGGUUCACAACCCUCUUUGUAAUUAUACUUCCAUUCGUUUACAAAACUAAAUCAUUCCUUAAUUCCCUUUCUUCAGUUAUAAUUCAAAAUUUUCAAUUUUAAAUGAAAAUGAUAAGUUCACUAUAGUUAAUUUCUUCGAAUUGUUUUCCGACGGAUAUCACAAAAUAUCAUAUUUAUCGACCGAUAUUAUAUCCGAAAAAGCAAUUCGAUAAAUCUAACUAAAGUACUCGGCAUUACUCACUAUUAAAAUAAAAUGUUUAAAUUUUAAACCAUUAAUUAUGUUAAUUUUUUUUAUCACUUCAUGUGAUAGGUGAUUGUUAAAGGUCUUUUAAUGAUUACCUAUCACAUCAAUGAGAUAUAGAAUAUGAUAAAGUAUGGCAAUAAUGUUAAUAAGUAUUAACAUUAAUACCUAUAUUGUAUAUGCAGUAGUGUUUACAAUUUUUUUAAGUAUGGAGGAAAAUUAACUAGAGAAAUAAAGAUUUUGUGAAUAGAAAAGGUUACCGGAGUCAAAGAUGGUGCCGGCACCGGUGGAGGGGUUGAAGGUGAAGGAGCCUGGAGGGACGUCCACAACUCUCCGGCCGACCCUAACUGCCAUAAGGUUGACAAAGUAAAGUGAUGGUCUUCUAGGGUUCUUGAGCAAUGGGGUGUACUUGAUCCUCUUGGGCUGCCCAACUGGGCCCAACCUCAGCGACCCAGAGAAGUUGAGGGACUUGAAGCUAGGCAAGCAGUAGGAGAAUGUGGAUUGGUAUAGGUUUUGGGUCUGGGACAGCAACGACAAGGGGCCUCGGCCCAGGCCCAGGAGGCCCUGCGCCGGUAGGGAUCCGCCGGUGGCCUUUUGUAUGCAACCGAAGCUGUAGCCGGGGACUGCAUCGGUGGCUAGGGUGAUGGUGUCCUGUGAGAGGUUGGCUGCUAAGGAGGAGCCACCAUAGGUGAGGUUGAAUGAGCACACCCCCCCACCGCAUGUGGGUUUUGGCACCUGAAAUUACGCGAAGAUCAUAGAAGUUAAAAAGUCUUUUUUUAUAUAAAGGCCCUGGUGACAUGUCAAGAAAAAAACAAAGGAAACAACACUCGGAGAUGUGAGUAAUGGUGAGAGUAAAUGCAGUACCUGCUUACACUGAGCAGCUUGGCAGCCAAGGGACUUGUAGGUAGUAGAGGCAGGAGAGUUAAAGAGAGUGGAGGAGCAGCCCAGACAGCCAUUGCAAGGAAUCCAAGCAACAUCACUGCUGGUGUCCAUGGCCAUGAGCAUGGUUUGAGCAGGAGUUCCAAUCUUAGCCCUCACAAUAUAAGUUGGGUUCUGGACGAUCUGCCUGCCUGAAGCAAUAGGCACUACAGAUUUGCGGGCGACAAGGCUAGAUAAAAACUGGAGCCUGGCCUUGUCCUUGGCCUGCAUUUGGAGCACACUCUCCUCCCAGGACAGUGGCUCUUUUGGCCUGA
rnacentral:lncRNA from 1 species